AUCUCUUCUCAGGCUUUUGGCUAAGAUCAAGCGUAGUAUCUGUUCUUAUCAGUUUAAUAUACUCUGUACAAAAAUACAGUUAGAACUUCUUCUUUUUUUUUUUUUUUAGACAGAGCCUCAAGCUGUCGCCCUGGGUAGAGCUCUGUGACAUCACAGCUCAUGGCAACCUCC
rnacentral:snRNA from 1 species